CGAUGGAUAGGGGUUCUGAGAGGAAGGUCCCCCACAUUGGAACUGAGACACGGUCCAAACUCCUACGGGAGGCAGCAGUGAGGAAUAUUGGUCAAUGGACGAGAGUCUGAACCAGCCAAGUAGCGUGAAGGAUGACUGCCCUAUGGGUUGUAAACUUCUUUUAUACGGGAAUAAAGUGAGCCACGUGUGGCUUUUUGUAUGUACCGUAUGAAUAAGGAUCGGCUAACUCCGUGCCAGCAGCCGCGGUAAUACGGAGGAUUCGAGCGUUAUCCGGAUUUAUUGGGUUUAAAGGGAGCGUAGGCGGGUUGUUAAGUCAGUUGUGAAAGUUUGCGGCUCAACCGUAAAA
rnacentral:rRNA from 1 species